rnacentral:lncRNA from 1 species
GUGAGGUUAGAGUUCCACGAGGUAUCUCAAGACUCAGAAACCUCCAGACUCUAGAAGGUAUAUACGCAGGUGGUGGCAUUGCCAAGGAGUUAGGCAACAUGACACAACUCAGAUCACUCGACGUGAGAAGUGUAUCAGAUGAUCAUGCAGAUGAGCUAUAUGCUUCUGUCACGAAGUUAACUGGGCUUAGGAACUUGUCUCUUACUGCAGAGUGGAAUGGGAUCGCAUACGACUCCAGCAGCCCACUUCCGUAUGAGAAUUCGCUUUUCCCCUGCUUAGAAUCCUUCUCACCUCCGCCACUACUUGAAACACUUGAGCUAAAAGGGUGUUUAACAGAGAUGCCGCUUUGGCUUGGCUCAAUGGAGAACCUCACUCGGUUAGUUAUGGCCUCCUCCCAUUUGUCUGAGAACCCAACUACGAUUUUGCAGUUCCUUCCCAACUUGAAAUAUCUUUCAAUGUUCCAUGCUUACAAAGGAAAGCGUAUGGAAAGAGAGUUCUUCAGAGCUGGCGGUUUCCCAAAAUUGGAGUAUCUCAAAAUUGUUUCUCGUAAUCUGGUGGAAUGGACAGAGAUGGAAGAGGGAGCAUUGCCUUGCUUAAAACAACUCUAUUUUUGGAACUGCAUGAGACUGAUGGGUCUUCCUGAAGGAUUGCAACAUGUGGCCACACUCCAAAAAUUGGUUUUGUUUAAUGUGCAUGGAGAUCUUACUCGGAGGUUGAACCCCAAUGGAGGUCCACAGAAUUAUAAGAUAAAGCACAUCCCACUGGUAGAAUCUUAUGUGCACUUGUGUGGCUGGAUGGUUUGGAAGACAUAGCCUCACCAGAAUAUCCUCAACGUAUAAUGAUGAUUGUUUUAAGAACACUCCUCCUCCCAUCUACCCCCCCAGUAUAUACAUACCAAUGGCAAAUGGCCCAAGUUUGUAUCUUUCAUGAGGUUAAACAGCUUCUCAUGAAAAAUGGAAGAUUUUAUUCGAAUUUUCUUGCAUAUCAAUUAAUCCAAUCAGGAAUAUUAGAAAGAUCCACCAACACAAUGAAUACCAGAUAUAGGUGGAAAAAAAUCGCCUACAUAAUCUUUCAAAAACUCUGCCUGUAGAGAAAAGUCACUAAAUGUGACAAGAAUGUACACAAAUUUACUUAAUUUUAAUAAGGGGAGACCUUCAAUUCCAAGCUCGUGAUUCAUUUUUGGUAAGGAAGGCCUUCAUAUCAAUGUUCGUUGUUCCUUCCACAGAUCAAAAAUCCAUUGAUGCAGAAGAAAUUACAGAUAGUUUUUUUUCUUCUUGUCUUAACCUCAAGGACUAAGACAGACAUCCAAUCUUUAUGGAAAUUUCUCAGUGCUACAGGCCCCAUAGCAACUAAUCAAGGCUUGAUAUUGAGUCUAAUUGUACUUGUACGAUACUUCCAUGUCCAGUUUGAUAGCCGAUAAAAGCAAGAACAAAAUAAAAAUAUAGGAAUUACAUAAUAAAACUAAAUAAAAAAAGAAAAAUGAAAGUUUGGGAUUUGUAUGAGAGUGUACGCUAGGAUGGUGGCAUAUGCGCCUGUCAUGAAGCUAAUGGGUCUCUGCAACUUGUCUCUUAGGGUGAAAUCAUAUUUGUUGGAGGAUUCACUUAUCCCCUCCUCAAUUAAAAUCAUUUUCUUCUCCCCCUCUGCUUCAAACGAUAAAGCUAGAAGGGGCUGUAAAUACAAAUAAAUAAAAUGCAGCAUGUGGACAAGGCUGUAACUAAAAAAUUUGUGAAGCUAGAUUUUUGGAUUUUACUUGAAGUGGCUCUGCCCCUUUUAACAUCCCAACUUCACAUGUAGAGUUAGUUACUCUUGACCGGCUUUUAGUUUAUUAGCUUCUAUUACUGUAUAUAAUUGCUGAAGGAAUUGAAAUUUUCUUGACUGAUGUAUUGAUCAAAACAUUGCUAAUCAACGAAGGCCCUGAAUAGCAGAGAUCAAAUUUGAUGGCUGUAGCAAUUAUGAGUAUUGAUCAAAACAACGUUGAAAAUUUCAUUAACAACUUUGUUAUAUUCAGUAAACCCAAGAGGAAAUUUUUUUGUCCAAGUUUCAAAGUUGGCUGCUCUUGGUGGGUCUAAUGGGGCAAUAUUUCUGGCGUGUUUAGGUACAGAAGAGUGACAUGUAUCAAUUGCUCUUGUUUUCUUUGUUGAGGGGUGAAUAAGGCGUGAAUCGGUCAAGAUUUGGAACUUUCAAAAUGAUCAGAACCACACCUUUUAGUACCCUAAACUCAUCCGGAGAUGUUCCAUUAUUCAAGUUGGUAAAGUUGGUUGAAAAAUGAAUAUACAAGGCAUUGAAUACUGGGGGCACAGAGGGGUGACUUUGACUAAUGAUCUAACUUGGGCAGGUUGGAAGCUUCGCAUGGGACGCACAAUUCCAUGUGGGAGAAGAUGUCCAUGAAGCAGAGGAUUAUAAAGGGGAUCAGAACCAGUUGACUGCUGAAUUCGGGGAGUGAAUUGGACCCUUAACCAGUUCCUGUCAUGAAAUUUUCUCUUCCACGGAUCAACACUCAGGUUUUUUUAUUGUUCCCGGCAAACUCACCAAACCAAGCGCCAGGUAUGUUGGGCUUAUUUUGAUUGGUAUUUUAGUUUUUGAGAAGUUAAAAAGAAAUUCAGGUAAUCCACGACCAAGGUUUGAGUAUAUCGGAAAAAAUCUCGGUUUUGGGUUUUUUUUUUUUCAUCAGGAAUUUUAAGCUCAAUGGUGGGCUGCAGCUACAUUUUAAAGCUAAAUAGAAAAAUAAUUCAAACAUGCAUGUGGAAGGCGCUUCGAAUAGGUGAGCUUGAGCAAUGAAAGGACAGCCUCUUACUAUUGGACCAAAUGUGCUUUGUUGCUAUAACUGUGUUUAAUAUUGCGAAAAUGUACUACCCAAAGAGCCCUUUUUGGGUUUUAUUUUCUUCUAUAUUUUCUAAACAAAGCAUAUUUACAUGAUUUCCCAUACUUAUAUAUAUUUUUUCAAUAAAACAACUUUAAAAUAUUUAUUAUGGUUUCUUAGAAUUUUUUUUUAAUAUUUCCAUGAGUUUGGAUUCAUCCAUCGACAUUUUAUAAAAUACUCAUGAAUAUUUUUUUACAUAUUUAGAUAUAUCUAUAAAAUCAAGUUAUCAAUUUAUCUGUCAAAACCGAUAUUUUCACCCUUAUCCACCACCGCUAAAUAUUUUUGAGUCAAGUUGUAUAUAUAAAAUCCUGGAAUGGAAGAAUUGAGAUUUCCGGCACUUGCUAUUCGGUUGCUCCUGUUUUCUUUGUUAAAUUUUGUAUCAUAACUUGGUUCUCGGAAUUUCAGUUACAUUUGAUUUGAAAAUUAAUACUUUUUGCUUGAAAUUAGGCCCAAGGUCAUCCACACCAGGCAAGUUGGUACUUGAUACUUUCUUUUCAAUCUGCUCCAGUUGGUUGGGAAUUGAAUCUACAGAGCAAUAGAAACCCAGUACAUGCAAGGGUGAAUUUUGACUUGAGACCGAGGAAGAAGCAGUUUCCGAAUUAGUAGAAGAGAGAGAGAGCUCAACUGUUCUUUUCUUUUGGUUGGCGGCCGCAUUCUCAUGAAAUGGCUAAGUCUUUUGUGACAUUAUUCCAAUGGAGGCUGAACUCUGUUCUACUGCAAGAGAAUGAAAUUCUUUUGGCUGUGAAGGAUCAAAUCCUGUCACUCGUUAACAAACUUGAUGAGGUUGGAAGCUUUCUGGGACAUCCUGUUUUUUGGACGCUGCAUGCUCGUGAAAUGGCUGAGUCUUUUCUGAAACUAUUCGAACCAAAGCUGAAAAAGAAAGGAAAUGAUCAAAUGGUGUCACUCAUUAGGCAACUGGAUGAGGUUACCAGAGUUGCAGGAGAUGUGGAGAGAAUCAGGGCAUGCUGCCAAACUUGGGUGAGUGAGUUAAGGGUAAUGCUCCAUGAGGCAGAGGAUUACGUUGACAAUUUCAUAAUUAAGCUGUAUGGGCAUACCGGGCAGGAUCAGAAAGAGUCGAUUGCUGAAUUUGGAAGUGAACUUGAGAAUAUCAACACGCGAGUCUCACAAAUCAUGAACAGAAGGCCUCAACUUGGGGCCUCCCCUAUCUUAGAAGAGAUUCAACAAUUCCUCAGAUCAAGGUUUUCUUUUGAUGAAGAUGAUGAGGAAACUGCUCUGGCCUCUUGCAUGUUAAAUUACAUAAAUCUACCCUAUGACCUUAAACUCUCUUUGCUAUUCUGCCGUGCCUUUCCUGGUUACUAUCGAAAAACAAAAGGUGCAUUAGUUCGAGUUCUGGUAGCAGCAGGUUUAAUACAAGAAAAACCUGGAGAACUGAUGGAGGAAACAGCCCGGGAAAAUAUAGAAAAGUUGGUGGACCUAGGAAUGCUUGAAGAAGAUCAAUCUGAGUGGGAUUGUUUUAGAGUUCCGAGUCCAUACUAUGAGUUAUCUCUGAGUGUAACAGCUCGUCAUGUAUCAAUUCAUGACGCAGAAAACACCAUCACCAACAUGAACAGUCUCCUACAUUCACUGUUUGUUUCUGCAAAGGAUGGCCUUUCAAAGGCCAGCUCAGAUUGUUUGGAAACUGUGUUGUACAAUGCAAAACGUGUGCAAGUGUUGGACUUAGAAAAUACACAACUCAAGAGCUUGCCUGAUGAAGUAGGGAAAUCGGUGAACCUAAGGUAUCUGGGUGUGAGGCAUUCCGAAAUAAAUGAGCUUCCUGAGAGCAUCAGCAAUCUUCGGAACCUACAAACCUUGGAUAUCUCCUGGUCUGGGGAUGAAUUUGAGCUGUCAAAUGGAGUUUUGAAUCUUGCACAACUGAGGCACCUGAAGGUGUUCCGGCCUGUGAAUGAUGGUGAGGUUAGAGUUCCACGAGGUAUCUCAAGACUCAGAAACCUCCAGACUCUAGAAGGUAUAUACGCAGGUGGUGGCAUUGCCAAGGAGUUAGGCAACAUGACACAACUCAGAUCACUCGAAGUGAGAUGUCUUUCAGAUGAUCAUGCAGAUGAGCUAUAUGCUUCUGCCACAAAGUUAACUGGGCUUAGGAACUUGUCUCUUACUGUUGAGGGGAAUGGGAUUGCAUACGACUCCAGUGACUCAGAUGAUAAUGAAUAUUCAGUUUUCCCCUGCUUGGAGACAUUCUCACCUCCGCCACUACUUGAAACACUUGAGCUAGUAGGGUGUUUAACAGAGAUGCCUCUUUGGCUUGGCUCAAUGGAGAACCUCACCAAGUUAUAUCUGUGCUACUCUCAUCUUUCUGAGAACCCAACUACAAUUUUGCAAUUCCUUCCCAAUCUGAAAUAUCUUCUAAUGGGGGGUGCUUACAAAGGGAAGCGUAUGGAAAUAGAGUUUUUCAGAGCUGGAGGAUUCCCUAAAUUGGAGUAUCUCACCAUUGCUUCUGAUGAUCUAGUGGAAUGGACAGAAAUUGAAGAGGGGGCACUGCCUUCCUUAAAACAACUAAGAUUUUCCAACUGCACGAGACUGAUGGUUCUGCCUGAAGGACUGCAACAUGUAACCACACUCCAAAUAUUGGAUUUGUGGAAUGUGCACGAGGAUCUUAUUCGGCGGUUGAGCCCCAAUGGAGGUCCAGAGAAUUAUAAGAUCAAACACAUUCCAGUAGUAAAAUAUCUUGGGCAAAUGAUGUCGCGGGGGUUUUGGACCCAAUGACAAAUUUUAUGAGUUUUAUCAAGUUAUAAUGAUGUUCAAGAUUCAAUCUCAUGGAGAAGUGGCUUCAAAUAAGUAUUAAAAAUAAAUCUAAAUUGUGUAUGGUUAUCUUAACUAUAUUUGAAAAAUUCUUCUGCAACUUGACUUUGAUAAGGGAGACCUUCGAUUCCAAGUCCAUGAUUCCUUAUGUACUCAAUAAUCUGUAGAUGCAAAGAAAUUGCAGUUUUUUUUAGCUUAUUCUUCUUUUAACCUAAAGGACUAAAAGUCUGUUUAGUAAUGAUUUUAGAAAGUGUUUCUAACAUUUUUAACACUUAAAAAUUUUUAUCUUUCAAGUAUUAGUAAGACUAGAAAUGCUUCUAAAAAUCCAAACAUAGGCAUCCAGUACUCCAAGAAGCAUUGCUGCACACCAGUUGCCACACCCCUGAGAGCAACUGAUCAUGGUUUUAUAAACCAUUUGAACAAGACAGAUCACAGCAAUUCCUCGACAUGAUUGCAACAGCAAACACUUCAUAAAAUAGCGUCUUCAUAUUGAGUCAAAACGGAUUGUGUUUGUAUUGUACUUGGUGGGAGGUUGAGUCCCAAUGGAUGUAGGGAUAACUAUAAGAUCAAACACAUCCCUCGAAUUCAAUUCUUUGGACUAGUAAACCCAAAUUGAUUGAACCUGGAUGAAGCUUUGGAAAACAGUUUCUCAUGGAAAAUGAAUAAACAAGGCCACAAAAAUUGAAUACAUACAAGAGUGAAUUUUGAGUUGGAUUUUCUGAGGAAGAGAAAAAAAAAAUACACAGACCUUGAGGGGUUCCACAAGCAAUGAUCUUGUAACCUCUUUCUGAUAGGCAGCUUCUUGAAUCUGUAGAAUAGAGACCCCUGAAUCUUAUUUUCCACCCUGUGAAAUGGCCAGAUCUUUGGCAGCAUCAUUCCAGUGGAAGCUGAAUUCUACUCAACUGCAAGAUAUUGAAAUUCUUUUGGAUGUGAAAGAUCGAAUAGUAUCACUCAUAAGCAAACUCGUUGAAGUUGGUAGGUUUGUGGCAGAUGCGGACAGAAUCUUUAUAGCAGAGAUGUUAGCAUAGUUGGGUGAGGGGGUUGAAGAGAAGCAUUUGUGAAGCAGAGUACUAUGUCGAUGAUUUCAUAGCUCAAGUGUAUGGCCGAAAUCAGCAGGAUCAGAAAGAGAUGAUGGCCAAAUUUAGGAGUGAACUGGAGAAUAUCAAUUCAGGCAUCAUGAACAUCAUGCAUGGAAGGUUUCAACUAUGUUAGAAAUGACAAAACAGGACAGCAGAUCGAAGUUUCAUUUGGAGGAAGGUGAGGAAAUUGUCCAUGCCUCUUCCACAUUAAAUUAUAUAAAUUUUCCUGAUGAUCUUAAAAUCUGUUUGCUCUAUUGAUGUACCUUUAUUGAGGGCCGUACAAUAGCAAAAGAAUGAUUAGUUCGGCUUUUGGUGGCUGGAGGUCUAAUACAAGAAAAACCGGGUACUUGACUGGGGACAAAGCCCAGGAAACCAUAGAAACGUUAUUUGACUUUGAAUCUUAUACAACUAAGACACCUGAAGAUGGUCCGGCCAAUUAAUGGGGGUGAGGUUAGAGUUCCUGAAGGCAUCUCAAGACUCAAAAGCCUCCAGACUCUAGAAGGCAUAUAUACAGGUGGUAGCAUUUCCAAGGAAUUAGGUGUUCCUCAGAUGAUUCUGAAUGCCUCUAAAAGCCUCCAGGCAACUUGACACAACUAAGAUCACUCGGAAUCAGGUGUUUUUCAGAUGAUUAUGCCAGUGAUCUAUAUGCCUCGAUCAUGAAGAUGACUGGGCUCCUCACCUUCUCCCCUAGGGUGGAGAGGAUCCGCUCCAACUUCAAGAGCUCAUUUUGGUUUGCUGACUCACUUUUCCCCUCAGAAUCCUAGCUUAAUUGAGGGUCCUGCCUGGCUUGGCUCAAUGGAGAACCUCACCAAGUUACCAAUGGUCUCCUCCCAUCUAUCUGAGAACUAGACUACAAUUUUACAGUAGCUUCCCAAAUUGGAACAACUAACAAUAUUGAACACAUUACAAAAGGAAAUUAAUGGGAAGGGAGUUCUAUGGAGUAGGUGGGUUUCCCAAUUUGAGUGCCUCAUUAUUUCUUCUGAUGUUUUGGUGGAAUCUUCUUAGAUGGAAGAGGGAGCAAUGCCUUGCUUACAGUAUCCGUGUUUUCGGAACUGUUUUCGGUUGAGGGCACUGCCUGAUGGGCUGCAAUACAUGACCACACUCAAGAAGUUGAUUUUGUAUCCCAUACAUGGUGAUCUUGCUAGGAGGUUGAGUCCCAAUGGAGGUCCAGAGAACUAUAAGAUGAAGCACAUCCCCUCAAGUAGAGUCUUAUAAACAGCUGAAUAGAAUGAAUAGAACACAACAUACAGCAAGCAAAACGAGUACCAUCAGGCACUCUGGACAUUUGUAAACACCAAGCAUAAUGUGUUUUGGAUCGUACGGCCUCCUGCUUUUGAACUACAACAUGGUCAUCAGAAUCAAAUCAAGACUCGAGACAUGCAAACCCUGACAUUGAAAAAGGAAAUAAUCGAUGAGACUUAAAAUCAUUCCAGCGUGGAUUUCCUCAUUCCCCAAAAUCAUAGGGAUGAGAUAAAGAUGAGAUGAUUUUCCGAAAUCCUAAGGUUAAGAACUCAUUUGGAACAGUGGCUGGUGAAGAAAAAGGAAUGGGUUUAAUGCUGGGGAAUUUUUUUUUUUUUUUAUGUUUAAUUCUCUUUUUCCACAUUCAUAGAGGACAAAUUUGAUUUAAAAAUGGUGUUUUCGUAAGGAUUUGCGAUCAUUUUGGUGGGGUUUAUGCAAAAAUGGUUGUGGAAAAAACCAAAUUAUAAGCAUAGAGGCCGGUUGCUCUGUUUUUUGCUCUGAAGUCAUAGAUUGGGGGAAAAGAAAAAAAAAAGGAAAGAAAGUUGGAAAAUGAUAUUUACUUUGGUUUUGGUCUCAAGAAUAUGCCAAAAUGGACUCAGCUAAGCCUAAUUAUUUUAGAAGAUGAGUUUUGCUUGUCUUAAGGUCUGAAAGGAUGGGAAUAAUAGAUUUCAAAGUCUCCUUUUUCUUUUCUUUUUCUUAAUUUUCUGGACUGCCAGACAAAUAACUGUUGUUCUUCACUCAUUCCUGCACCAUAAAACUCAAAUCUAAAUCGUCCGGGCUCAUGGACUCAUUCCAAAUGCAACAUGAAGCCCAAUAAAAAUCAUUCGGGCAUGGAAUCAGAAAUACGUCGGCUGUGAUUGAUUAGAAAUCAUAGCAUUAGAAAUGGCAUGCAGCUAGUCUACAUGACAAAGAUGGUAUUUACUAGAACAGUCCCAGUACACAAUGCGGGGUGAUUAGUUCUUUUUUCCUUACUGCUCUGAAGUCUGAUCAAACUAAUAUUUCUGACCAAAAACCAACUCGACGCAUAAAACCUGCACGUUGAUGAAAUUACAACAACCAAUUACAGCUUGAAUUUCAAUUUACCUCCAAGGAAAAGAAAGUAAAAAACAGGUAACAAAAUAAACCUCUUUGAAGCAAUGGAUGAACACAUGUGCUUGCUCCUUCAAUUGUGGAAAUCUGGAUGUGCUCUCAAAUUCCCAAUAUCAAAACUGUAAUUACAAGGUACUUCAAAUUUUGAACAAGGAUAAUUGUCCUUUUUUUGCACAAAUACAAAAAGCCAGGUAGCAGGGAAUUACAGAAAGAUGUUUCUUGGUUUCUGAGAGUGACCAAUAACCUGAAAUUUGAAGGUGAUUUAAUUCUGAGAAUCACUCAUAAGCAUCCACCCUACAUUAUCAAAGAACAAGCUUCCAAGUGAUAAUAAAUUCUCCAAUUUUUGUUCACACCAAAAAAAUUAGCAGUAUGCUAGCAACAAACUAAUGGACAAUAAUGAUGUAGAAUACCAGAUAUGGAAAUCAGAAAGGUAAUAUUUUCAUUUAAUUCUAUCAAAAAUGCUUUCAUGGAACGUCUUUGACACUGUUUUUGUAAUGGUUUUUUGGAUAUCUCCUGGUCUGGGAUGGAAUUUAGUUGUCAAAUGGGGUUCUGAAUCUUGUACAACUGAGGCACCUGAAGAUGUUCCAGCCUAUCCAUGAUGGUGAGGUUAGAAUUCCACAAGGUAUCUCCAGCCUCAGAAAACUCCAAACUCUACAAGCUGUAUACGCAGGUGGUGGCAUUGCCAAGGAAUUAUGCAACUAUAUCAACUUUAUUUGGUAUGAAGAUUCAGUUUUCCCCUGCUUGGAGACAUUCUCACCUCCGCAACUACUUCAAAUACUUAAGCUAACUGGGCGUUUAUUUGAGAUUCCUGCUUGGUUUGCCUCAAUGGAGAACCUCAGCCAGUUACGUAUGAGAUGCACUCAUCAUCUCUCUGAGAACCCAAAUACAAUUUUGCAGUUCCUUCCCGAUUUGAAAUAUCUUCUAAUGGGGCAUGCUUACAAAGGUGCGAGUAUUGCCUUGUCUCAUCCUCUCCCACCUUGAUUAUGUUGUAGUGUAACUAGGUUGAUUUUUAUAAUCAAAUUACUCCUAACCAAUGUUUUCAGAAUUAGACCGAUCAUUGAACCGAAAAAGUUACUAUUUUAUGGUUCAUUAGUGAUGUUAUAAAUAUAUAAUUUAUAUAUUAUUAAAAUUUAAAUAAUAAUAAUAAUUUAUAUAUUAUUUUAAAAUUAAAUUUUUAUUUGAAAAAUCAUAAAAUUAGUUUCAAAUUACAAAUUUGAAGUUUGAAACUUUAAAUCAAAAAUUUAUUUUAUAAUCAUAAAUUUAUUUAAAAUUAUAAUAUUAAUUAUUUUCAUUCAUUUAAAUUAAAAUCACAAGUUUUAAAAAUCAAUGAAGUAAAAAAAUAAUAAAUAUAAAACAAAAUAAAUAAUAAUGUUGAUGGAGUAAAAAAAUAAAAAUAAAAAAUUGGAAAGGGCGGCCAAAAAGGUCGGAAAAUGUCAAAAAGGAAAAUAAAAAAUGUCAAAAAUUUGGGCGGCCAAAAAGGACGGGUUUUGGGGCACCGGAAAAUGUCAAAAAUCUGGGUGGGAGCACCGGAGAGGAAAGGGAAAAAAAUCUGGGUAGGGAAGGGAGAGGUAGAAGGAAGGGUUUUGGCACCGAAGGGCGAGGAAGAAGGAAGGGUUUUGGGGGGCACCGGAAAAUGGAAAAAACCUAGGUGGGGACGUCGAGGCUGGGAAGAACGAAGGGUUGCGGGGCACCGGAAAUGGAAAGGGAAAAAAAUCUGGGUCAGGGCAUUGCGAGGGGCUGAGAAGAAGGAUGGUUGUACGGCGGCGGCGGCGGCGGCGCUGAAGCAGGCUGAUGAAGCGUUGGAUGGGGGAGGAGAACUGUUCGGUUCACCCGAAACCGGCCGGGUCAUCCGGUUCAUCGGUCCGACCGCGGUUCCAGCGAUCCGACGUCGGUUUUAAGGCUCCCGGCUCAAAUGGCCGAACCGGACCGGAUUGGUGACCGGUUUUUAAAACCAUGCUCCCAACCCUCUCAGUUGGAAGCUUCUUUUACUGUACUCUGUGCGUUAUAUUUAAAAGAAACUCUUUUCUCAAAUUUCUUGUCUGGAACUUAAUAAAAAAACUCAAAACCAUCUUUGGUUGGCGAUGUUACCAAAGUUGGGAGACGUGCAAAACCUUGGCAGGAGAAGAUGUUACCAAAGUUGGGAGAUACACAAAACCUUGGUAGGAGAACAUGUUACCAAAGUUGGGUGAGUAAGUCCAGGGGAGGCAACAGUGAAGCAGAGGAUAGUGAAGAUUUCCUAAUUCAGGUCGAUGGCCGGGACUAGGGGAUCAGAAAGAGUCGAUUGCUGAAUUUUCUCUUCCAUAUUUGAUAAAGUUUUAUAAUACCAAAUGCUGUUUUUUCUUUUUUCUCUGUAAACUUUAGCCUGCCUCAGCUAUAGUAAAAAAACAGUUUAGUUUUGAAUUGUAGUUAGGGAGUUGGGAAAGUGUGGUAAACUGUAAACAUAGAGAAAAACAGUUCUAAUGCAUCCUUCUGCACUUUAUUUGGCUUUAACUUAACAGAGAGAGGUUUUUGAAGAUGUUGGAAUUCAUCAAGGUGUGAACGUUCUGUAUGGCUACUGACGGCAAGUUAGUUGGGACUUGAAAGAAAGCAGUUCCUAUUACUGUGCAGAAAAAAUCAUAAAUACUAGGCAUAUGAACAGAAAAAAUUCAGGUAACCCACUACCACUAUAGUUUUUUGACUCCUGGAAUGCACUCUUUAAUAUCACCUACAUGUGUUAGUCUGUUUCUCUUGUUUUGCUUGUUAAAAGGGUUUGUAACUUUGUUCAUACUAAUUUCAUUCAAAUUUGAAUCAAAAAAUGGUUUUUUUCCUGAAAAAGUUGAGAUUUAGGCCAGCCUUACCCACAGCAGGCAAGUUGGUGGUUCAUACUUUCUUUUCAAUCCAACUCAACAUAGUUGGGAAUUUAAUUGGCAAAGAAAUACAGACUGAAUACAUACAAGAGAGCAGCAAUCCAAGUACUUGAUCUUGUGACCUCCUCUUUCUCAGAAGCACUUUCAGAAUUCGUAGAAGAGGGAGACCUCAACACCUUCUUUUUGGUUGUCCGUUGCACGCUCAUAUCAUGGCUGCUUCUUUUGUGACAUUAUUCCAAUGGAGGCUCAACUCUAUGCUCCUGCAAGAGAAUGAAAUUCUUUUGGGUGUCAAGGAUCAAAUUGAGUCGCUCAUUAACAAACUUGAUGCGGUUGGAAGCUUUACGGGAGAUGUGGACAGGAUCUUGGGAAGAGAAAGUUGUCAUCUAACAUGGGCGAGUGAGUUGAGGGGAAUGCUCUGUGAAGCAGAGGAUUUUGUUGAUGAUUUCAUAAUUAAGGUGUAUGGGCAAACUGAAAAGGAUCGGGAGGACUCUAUUGCCGAGUUUAGAAAUGAACUUCAGAACAUCAACUCAAGAGUCUCAGAAAUCUUGAACAGAAGACCUAGACUUGCAGCCUCCCUGAUGUUAGAAGAGAUUCAACGGUUUCUCAGGUCAAAGUUUGUUUUUGAUGAAGAUAAGGAAACUGCUCUUGUCUCUUGCAUGUUAAAUUACAUGAAUCUACCCUAUGACCUUAAACUCUCUUUGCUAUUUUACUGUGCCUUUCUUGGGAGGUAUGGACAAACAAAAGGCGCAUUAGUUCGAGUUCUGGUAGCGGCAGGUUUAAAACAAGAAAAACCUGGAGAACUGAUGGAGGACAAAGCCCAGGAAAAUAUAGAAUGGUUGGUGGACCUGGGAAUGCUUGAAGAAGAUUAAACUGAGUGGGAUUGUUUUAAAGUUCCGAGUCCAUACUAUGAGUUAUCUCUGACUGUGAUGAAUGCAGAAGAAUUUUUUAUAACCACUGCAAAUUCAGAUUCUAUUAUACCUCCAACAGCUCAUCAUGUAUCAAUUCAUGAAGCAGACAACACCAUCCCAAACAUGAACAGUCUCCUACAUUCGCUGUUGGUUUCUGCAAAGUAUGGCCUUUCAAAGCCCAGCCCGGAUUGUUUGGAAACUGUGUUGUACAAUGCAAAACUUCUGCGAGUGUUGCACUUAGAAAAUAUAGAACUUAAGAGCUUGCCUGAUGUAGGGAAAUUGGUGCACCUAAGGUAUCUGGGUGUGAGGCAUUCCGAAAUAACCGAGCUUCCUGAGAGCAUCAGCAAUCUUCGGAACCUACAAACCUUGGAUAUCUCCUGGUCUGGGAAUGAAUUUGAGCUGUCAAAUGGAGUUUUGAAUCUUGUACAACUGAGGCACCUGAGGAUGUUCCGGCCUAUGAAUGAUUGUAAGGUUAGAGUUCCACGAGGUAUCUCAAGACUCAGAAACCUCCAGACUCUAAACGGUAUAUACGUGGGUGGUGGCAUUGCCAAGGAGUUAGGCAACAUGACACAACUCAGAUCACUCGACGUGAGAAGUGUAUCAGAGGAUCAUGCAGGUGAGCUAUAUGCCUCUAUCAUGAAGCUAACUGGGCUUUGCACCUUGUCUCUUACUGUGGAGAGUGAGAGGGUCUCAUACAACUCCAGCAGCUAUUUUUGGUAUGAGAAUUCGCUUUUCCCCUGCUUAGAAUCCCUCUCACCUCCACCACUACUUCAAAAACUUUCACUAACCGGGCAUUUAAUCGAGAUUCCUGUUUGGCUUGGCUCAAUGGAGAACCUCACCAAGUUAUAUAUGUGCUUCUCUCAUCUUUCUGAGAACCCAACUACGAUUUUGCAGUUCCUUCCCAACUUGAAAUAUCUUUCAAUGUUCCAUGCUUACAAAGGAAAGCGUAUGGGAAGAGAGUUCUUCAGAGCUGGCGGUUUCCCAAAAUUGGAGUAUCUCAAAAUUGUUUCUCAUAAUCUGGUGGAAUGGACAGAGAUGGAAGAGGGAGCAUUGCCUUGCUUAAAACAACUCUAUUUUUGGAACUGCAUGAGACUGAUGGGUCUUCCUGAAGGAUUGCAAUAUGUGGCCACACUCCAAAAAUUGGCUUUGUUAAAUGUGCACGAGGAUCUUAUUCGGAGGUUGAGCCCCAAUGGAGGUCAAGAUAAUUAUAAGAUCAAACACAUUCCACGUGUAUCAUAUUUUGGGCAUAUGAGUUUUUAGUGAUAGCCUUUGCCAAUGACAAAUUUUAUAAUUUUUUAACCGUGUUAGAAAGCCGAGCAGGAUUCAAUCCCGUGGAAAAGUUUCUUCAAAGAACUACUGAAAAUAAGGCUAAAUUGCGUAUGGUUAUCUUAGCUUUUUUUGGAAAAUUCUUCCACAAUUUGAUUGUGAUACGGGAGGCCUUCAAUUCCUACUUCAUGAUUCCUUCCAUACUUCCAAAAACCAGUUGAUUAAACCAAAUGAAGCUUUGGAAAAAAGUUUCACACCCGAGUAUUUAUCCACAGCUUUAUGGAAAUUUCUCAGUGCCACAGGCCCCAUAGCAACUGAUGAAGGCUUGAUACUGAGUCUAAUUAUAUUUGUAUGGUACUUCUAUGCCCAUUCUGAUAACGGAUAAGAGCACUAAAUAAAAACAAUUAAAGUCUGGGAUUUGUAUGAGAGUGUAUACACGCAUGGUGGCAUAUUCCCCUGUCAUGAAACUAACUGAUCUCCACAACUUGUCCCUUAGGCUGAACUCAUAUUUGUAGGAGGAUUCACCUAUCCCCUCUUGAAAAUCCCUUUCAUCUCCCCACUGCUUCAAACGAUAAAGCUAGAAGGGGCUCUAACUACAAAUAAAUAAAUCAAAUGCAGCAUGUGGACAAGGCUGUAACUACAAAAAUUUGUAAAGCUGGAUUUUUGGAUUUACUUGAAGUGGCUCUAAUCCUUUUCUUGAUUGAUGUGGUCUGUAGGUUGUGCGUUUUAUUCAAAACAAAAUCUUCUCUCAAAUUCCAUUAACAACUUUUUUAUAUACAUUAAAACCCUCUAGCGUAGGCGAAAAGCCCCAAGAAGAAAAUUAUCUGUGUAAGUUUCUAACUGCUCUUGUUUUCUUUGUUGAGGGUCCAUAAGGCGUGAAAUGGUCAUGGUCAAGAUUGUCAGACUCUGUAGAAAUCUGUAAAAUGGUAUUGGCUUCAAUGCCAAAAACCGGGUGGCUAUUCUCAUUUAUAUACAAUUACAGAAGAAGUUUUGAAAUACACAAAAACAGAAAUUUAAAAAUAGUCAAGGGUUAUCUCUUAAAGUGGAUAAGUGUUUAUCUGGUGGAUAAGAUAAGUGAGAAGCCAAGGAAAUCUCGUGGUUUGAAGGUUGUGGUUAUCAUCCCCCCUCAAGCUAAUGGAGAGAGAAACCACCAUUAGCUUGUCAUGAAGCAGACAAAAACGAGCUAAACUUAGUCCCUUUGUAAAGAUAUCAGCAGGCUGAUCAUAAGAACCAAUGAACUGAAGGGAAAUAUCUCGAUUAGCAACUUUCUCGCCGAUGAAGUGAAAAUCAACUUCAAUAUGUUUGGUGCGGGCAUGAAACACAGGAUUAGAAGCAAGAGCAAGAGCGCCACUGUUAUCACACCAAAUAGUAGGAGCUGUGGGCAAAGAAAUAUGAAGUUCUUUGAGGAGCAUACGAAUCCAAUACAGCUCAGCAGUAGUAAUAGCUAAUGCCCUAUAUUCGGCUUCAGUGCUAGAACGAGCUACCACAGAUUGUUUCUUGGCAGUCCAUGAGAUUAAGCAAGAGCCAAAGAAAACGCCAUACCCAGUAGUUGAUCUUCGAUCAUCGGGAUUACCAGCCCAAUCUGAAUCACAAAAGGCUUGAAGAGUUUGCUCGCCCUUAGUGUACCAUAAUCCCAGAUCAAUGGUGCCUUUUAAGUAACGUAAGACACAUUUUGCUGCUGUCCAAUGAACAGAAUUAGGACAGUGCAUAUGAUGACAUAGUUGGUUGACAGAAAAUGUUAUAUCAGGUCUAGUCAAGGUGCAAUAUUGAAGAGCUCCCACAGUUUGUCGAUAUUCUGUAAUUUGAGAAGCUGUGAGUGGCUCACCAACAUGAGUGAAUAAUUUAAGGCCUGUGGUACAAGGAGAGGAAGCAGGUUUGGCCCCAGCCAUCUUGGUACGAUGAAGAAGAUCCCCAAUGUACUUGGAUUGUCAAAGAUGUAGGCCAGAAGAGUCACGACUUGCUUGGAUGCCGAGAAAAUAGCCUAAAGGACCAAGGUCUUUCAUCUUGAACUCGAUCUGUAGCUUUUGGAUUAGAGACUGAAUGAGAGAAGGAUCUGUACCUGUAACAAGGAUAUCAUCUACGUAGAUGAGGAUAAAUAGAUGAAUAUGGCCCUUAUGAUAGACAAAUAAGGAGGCAUCCACUGGUGAGGAUAGGAAACCGAAUUCAAGUAGAGUUUGAGAUAGACGCAUAAACCAAGCACGAGGUGCUUGUUUGAGGCCAUAAAGUGACUUGUUCAGUUUGCAAACAUAAUCUGGAAAAUCUGAAUUAACAAACCCCUUAGGUUGCUCCAUAUAUACAUCCUCUAGCAAGAUCCCAUGAAGAAAAGCGUUAGAUACAUCAAGCUGUCUGAUUUCCCAAUCAAAUUGAACAGAAAGUGUAAGAAGAACCCGUACAGUAGAAGGCUUAAUUACUGGACUAAAAGUCUCAGUAAAGUCAAUACCUUCUUCUUGAGCAAAUCCCAAAGCCACUAAUCUUGCUUUGAACCUGUCAACCUCACCUGUGGAUGUUUGUUUAACUUUAUACACCCACUUAUUUCCCACCACAUUAUGAUCAACAGGUCUAGGACAUAGCUUCCAUGUCUCAUUAGCCAAUAAAGCAUCAUAUUCCUCUCUCAUAGCAACACACCAAUCAGGUAAUAAAGCAGCUUGUCGGUAAGAGGUUGGUGCAAGGGGAGUCACAGUACUGGAUAAUGCUUGGAGAGGAUAUUGGGUGGAAUAGAGUUUAAAAUCUAAAAAUAUGCGAGGUUUGAGGUUGCAUGUUUGGGAGCGAGUUGUCAUGGGGUGAUGAGAGUGAUUGGAAGAAGAGGAAAAUUCAGGUAUAGAAAGGGUAGGAGCUGGAGCAGGUAUGGGAGAAGGUAGAGUAGAGAUAUGAGGAGAAGUGGGGAUAGGUAAAGAUUCUAGAGGAGAAUCAAGUGAAUCUGAAAUGAUUGGAGAGGAAUGCUGUAAAUUAGAAGUAGAUAAAGAAAAUGAAGGAGAAGGUAAAGGCGUACCUUGAGAGGAGACCACUGGAAGAAGUUCAGAAGACUGCAAUCCAUCCUUAGCAGGAAAUGUAUUCUCAUUAAACACAACAUGUCGUGAGAUUAGAACUUUUUGAGUGAUAGGAUCCAAGCAUCUAUAUCCAUUUUGAUGGGAACUAUAACCUAGAAAUAUGCAACGUUUGGAUCUGAACAUUAAUUUGUGAGUUGCAUAUGGUCGCAACAAUGGAAAACAGGCACAACCAAAGGUGCGCAAGGAGGUAUAAUCAGGAUGUUUGCCAAAUAAUUUAAGAUAUGGUGUUUGGUUAUCAAGAGUAGAUGUUGGCAGUCUAUUGAUGAGAAAAAUGGAUGUUAAAAAGGCAUCAACCCAGAAUUUAGUAGGCAAAAGUGACUGAGCUAACAGAGAUAGUCCCAUUUCCACCACAUGACGGUGUUUACGCUCAGCAACCCCAUUUUGUUGGGGUGUAUGAGGACAAGUGCGGCGAUGUUGGAUUCCAUUAGAGGAAAGAAACAAUUGAAAUUGGUUGGACAUGUAUUCUCCACCUCCAUCUGAUUGUAAUUGCUUAAUUUUGCAAGAAAAUUGGUUUUCAACUAGUGUUUUGAAUUUAACAAAGCAAGCAUAUACAUCAGAUUUAUUUUGGAGAGGAUAAAGCCAUGAGAAUCGUGAAAAAUCAUCAAUGAAUAUAACAUAAUACUUACAUCCACUAAGAGAUUUGGUAGAACAAGACCAUACAUCAGUAUGAAUUAAUUGCAAAGGAAAGGAAGAAACACGAGUAGAAGGUUUGAAAGAAAGUUGCUUACCUUUGCCAAGUUGGCAAGGUUCACAAAAAUGCAUUUUAUUCACUGAUCCUUCAACAGGUAAGGAGUGUUUAUUUAAUAACUGAGACACAAUGGGAAGAGAUGCAUGUCCUAACCUAGAAUGCCUAACUGAGACACAAUGGGAAGAGAUGCAUGUCCUAACCUAGAAUGCCAAACUGAAACUGGUGCUUUAAUUCCUACAACGGCUGACAAAGCAUGUGAUUUAUUGAUAGACAUUGACCGCAACUGGAUUGGAUAGAGACCCCCUUCACUCCUGCCUUCCAGUAGUGUCGCCCCCAUUUGUAUGUCCUUAACAAAAUAAUGAGUACCAGUUAGAAUAAAGAGGCAAUUAUUAUCAAGACAGAAUUGAUUUAUGGAAAGCAAAUUGGCAGAAGCUUGAGGACAAUGGAGAACACGUUUGAGGUUUAAUUUAGCUUCAGGAGUAUGAAAAAUAGUAGUACCAGUAUGUGCAAUACUUAAACCUUGGCCAUUACCAACAGCUACAUUUUCUUGUCCUGUGUAUGGUUGUUGCAGAGUAAGAUGCUCCAGAUUGGCAGUAAUGUGCUGAUUAGCUCCACUGUCAGCAAACCAUGUCUCUUCCUCUUGCUCAGCAUUGCUAUGUGCCACCAUAGCAGCUAACUGGGUUGGUGGAUGACGACCCUGAUAUGCAUAAUCCAUUCUAUGAAAGCAAUCUAAUGCCUUAUGACUUAGCUUUCCACAGAUUUGACAAGGUGACUUAGGAGUGGAAAAUGAGUGCUGCUUCUGAUUUGGCUGAGGUGAGGAAGGUAAACCAGAGGGUUGUGGUGAAUAUCGAGGACGAGGAUUUUGUGAAAAUGAAGGACGUGAAUAUGGUUUACUUGGGUUUUUGGGUUUGCGAUUGUACUGCUGUUGGUUAGAUUUGGGAGUGAAGAAAGCAAAAUUAUUUGUCUCAGGUGGUAUAGCAAUAUUCUGGUUUUCCAAUAACAGUUCAUAUGACAAGAGCUCGGCUUGAAAGUCUUCAAAAGAAACAUUCUUGUCUCUAGUGGCAAAGGACAGAGAGGUUAUAAAGGGAUUAAAGGAUGGGUUGAGUCCACUCACAAUAUAAGACAUUAAGUCAUCAUCCUCAAGUGGCUUACCAACUGCAGCUAAUUCAUCAGACACCAACUUCGCUUUUUCAAGAAAAUCAGUGCACUUCAUUAACCCUUGAUGAAGAGUCUGCAACUUUCGCUUUAGGUGGUGUACACGGGUUCUGGAUUGAGAGGCAAACUUGUUUGCUAGAGAACUCCACACCUCUCGAGCAGAUGUGAUGCCAUAAACAGAAGCUAGCACCUUGUCAGACAAAGUGGCAUUGAUCCAACUUAACACACACUGAUCUUUCUUAUUCCAGAGAAUAUAUGCUGGAUUAAGAGAACCAUCAAGAGAUUUUGAUGGACACGGCUCAGAACCAUCCACAAAGCCCAUCAAGUCAUGACUUUUCAGUACUGGCACAAUCUGAGAUGACCAUAUAAGGUAGUUUGUGUCACUCAGCUUGAUCGACACCAGAUGACCAAUGUUUGGAGGAGCAAAGAUAACAUUGGAAGAAGCGGAAGAAGAGAAGGCCAUAGUUGAGAAGGAAAGGAUCGAUUGAAAUUAGGCGUAUGCCAAUUGCUCUGAUACCAUGUAAGACUCUGUAGAAAUCUGUAAAAUGGUAUUGGCUUCAAUGCCAAAAACCGGGUGGCUAUUCUCAUUUAUAUACAAUUACAGAAGAAGUUUUGAAAUACACAAUAACAGAAAUUUAAAAAUAGUCAAGGGUUAUCUCUUAAAGUGGAUAAGUGUUUAUCUGGUGGAUAAGAUAAGUGGAUAAGAUAAGUGAGAAGCCAAGGAAAUCUCGGUGGUUUGAAGGUUGUGGUUAUCAAAGAUCAAGGUCAAGGUCAAGAUUUGGAAAUCUCAAAAUGACCAGAACGAAACCUUUUAAGUACUCUAACAGUCUAACCUACCCUUCUCAGUCUGGCCAAGUUGGUUGGAAAAUGAAUAUACAAGGCAUUGACUAGAGAAUUUUGCAGGAAAACCGAAGGUGAAAGCAAAGGAUUACAAUGAUGCACAAUUUCUUGUGCGAGAAGAUGUCCACGAAGCAGAGAAUUACAAAGAUAAUUUCAUAGCUCCGGUGGAUGGCCGGGACAAAGAGAAAUUCUGAUAUACGGCAAGCGCUUUGUAUGUUGGGCUUAUUAUGAUUAGUUUUUUUAGUUUUUGAGAAGUUAAAAGAAUCGUUGUUAAGAUUAGAUCAUUGAUAACCUGUUAUUCUGUUUAAAAUCCUGGAAUCCACUUAUUAAUUACCUACACUUGUUAUUCUGUUUCUCCUGUUUUAUUUGUUCAAUUCGUAUCAUUUACAUAUGAUUUCAAGGCUAAUGCUUUUUGCUUGAAAUUAGGGCAAGUUGGUAGGAGAUUGAAUGUACCAAGCAAUAGAAACCCACUACAUCUGUACAUGCAAGGGUGAAUUUUGAAUUGAGAGGAUUUAGGGGGAGCAACACAACUAAUUGAUCUUGUAGCCUCCUCUCUCUGAUAAGAAGCAGUUUCCGAAUUUGUAGAAGAGGGAGACCUCAACUAUUCUUUUCUUUUGGUUGGCGCGCGCACGCUCAUGAAAUGGCUGGGUCUUUUGUGACAUUAUUCCAAUGGAGGCUGAACUCUGUUCUACUGCAAGAGAACGAAAUUCUUUUGGCUGUGAAGGAUCAAAUCCUGUCACUCGUUAACAAACUUGAUGAGGUUGGAGGCUUUGUGGGACAUCCUGCUUUUUGGACGCUGCAUGCUCGUGAAAUGGCGGAGUCUUUUCUGAAACUAUCCAAACCAAAGCUGACAAAGAAAGGAAAGGAUCAAAUGCUGUCACUCAUUAGGAAACUGGAUGAGGCUACCAGAGUUGCAGGAGAUGUGGAGAGAAUAAGGGCAUGCUGCCAAACUUGGGUGAGGGAGUUAAGGCUAAUGCUCCAUGAGGCAGAGGAUUGCGUUGACAAUUUCAUAAUUAAGGUGUAUGGGCAAACCGGGCAGGAUCAGAAAGAGUCGAUUGCUGAAUUUGCAAGUGAACUUGAGAAUAUCAACUCGCGAGUCUCAGAAAUCAUGAACAGAAGGCCUCGACUUGGGGCCUCCCCUAUCUUAGAAGAGAUUCAACAAUUCCUCAGAUCGAGGUUUUCUUUUGAUGAGGAAACUGCUCUUGCCUCUUUCAUGUUAAAUUACAUAAAUCUACCCUAUGACCUUAAACUCUCUUUGCUAUUCUGCUGUGCCUUUCCUGGUUACUAUCGAACAACAAAAGGUGAAUUAAUUCGAGUUCUGGUAGCAGCAGGUUUAAUACAAGAAAAACCUGGAGAACUGAUGGAGGACAAAGCCCACGAAAAUAUAGAAAGGUUGGUGGACCUGGGAAUGCUUGAAGAAGAUCAAACUGUGGGGGAUUGUUUUGAAGUUCCGAAUCCAUACUAUGAGUUAUCUCUGAGUGUGAUGAAUGCAGAAGAAUUUUUUAUAUCCACUGCAAAUUCAGAUUCUAUUAAACCUCCAACUGCUCGUCAUGUAUCAAUUCAUGAUGCAGAAAACACCAUCACAAACAUGAACAGUCUCCUACAUUCACUGUUUGUUUCUGCAAAGGAUGGCCUUUCAAAGGCCAGCUCGGAUUGUUUGGAAACUGUGUUGUACAAUGCAAAACGUGUGCAAGUGUUGGACUUAGAAAAUACACAACUCAAGAAUUGUCUGAUGAAGUAGGGAAAUUGGUGAACCUAAGGUAUCUGGGUGUGAGGCAUUCCGAAAUAAAUGAGCUUCCUGAGAGCAUCAGCAAUCUUCGGAACCUACAAACCUUGGAUAUCUCCUGGUCUGGGAAUGAAUUUGAGCUGUCAAAUGGAGUUUUGAAUCUUGCACAACUGAGGCACCUGAAGAUGUGCCGGAGUGUGAAUGAUGGUGAGGUUAGAGUUCCACCAGGUAUCUCAAGACUCAGAAACCUCCAGACUCUAGAAGGUAUAUACGCAGGUGGUGGCAUUGCCAAGGAGUUAGGCAACAUGACACAACUCAGAUCACUCGAAGUGAGAUGUCUUUCAGAUGAUCAUGCAGGUGAGCUAUAUGCCUCUAUCAUGAAGCUAACUGGGCUUUGCACCUUGUCUCUUACUGUUGAGAUGAAUGGGAUUGCAGACGACUCCAGCGACUCAGAUGAUAACGGAUAUUCACUUUUCCCCUGCUUGGAGACAUUCUCACCUCCGCCACUACUUCAAACACUUCAGCUAGAAGGGUGUUUAACAGAGAUGCCUCUUUGGCUUGGCUCAAUGGAGAACCUCACCAAGUUAUAUCUGUGCUGGUCUCAUCUUUCUGAGAACCCAACUACCAUUUUGCAAUUCCUUCCCGAUCUGAAAUAUCUUCUAAUGGAGCGUGCUUACAAAGGGAAGCGUAUGGAAAUAGAGUUCUUCAGAGCUGGAGGAUUCCCUAAAUUGGAGUAUCUCACCAUUGCUUCUGAUGAUCUGGUGGAAUGGACAGAGAUUGAAGAGGGGGCACUGCCUUCCUUAAAACAACUCUGUUUUUCCAACUGCAUGAGACUGAUGGUUCUGCCUGAAGGACUGCAACAUGUAACCACACUCCAAAUAUUGGAUUUGUGGAAUGUGCACGAGGAUCUUAUUCGGAGGUUGAGCCCCAAUGGAGGUCCAGAGAAUUAUAAGAUCAAACACAUUCCAGUAGUAAAAUAUCUUGGGCAAAUGAUGUCACAGGGGUUUUGGACCCAAUGACAAAUUUUAUGAGUUUUAUCAAGUUAUAAUGAUGUUCAGGAUUCAAUCUCAUGGAGAAGUUGCUUCAAAUAAGUAUAAAAAAUAAAUCUAAAUUGUGUAUGGUUAUCUUAACUAUAUUUGAAAAAUUCUUCU